rnacentral:rRNA from 1 species
CAGCAGCCGCGGUAAUACGUAGGUGGCAAGCGUUAUCCGGAAUGAUUGGGCGUAAAGGGUGCGCAGGCGGUCCUGCAAGUCUGGAGUGAAACGUAUGAGCUCAACUCAUGCAUGGCUCUGGAAACUGGAGGACUGGAGAGCAGGAGAGGGCGGUGGAACUCCAUGUGUAGCGGUGAAAUGCGUAGAUAUAUGGAAGAACACCAGUGGCGAAGGCGGCCGCCUGGCCUGUUGCUGACGCUGAGGCACGAAAGCGUGGGGAGCAAAUAGGAUUAGAUACCCUAGUAGUCCACGCCGUAAACGAUGAAUGCUAGCUGUCCGGUUCUUUGGGACUGGGUGGCACAGCGAAAGCGUUAAGCAUUCCACCUGGGGAGUACGCCGGCAACGGUGAAACUCAAAGGAAUUGACGG